rnacentral:lncRNA from 1 species
UUGUUUGUGUGCCAAGUGUAACAUUGGCUUUGCGUUGCUAUUGGGAUGAGUUGGAUAUACGAUAGAAGCCUACUGGAGGGGCUAACGGGAGUAUCUCUUCUGGUUGGAUUGUCAUUUAUAUUCAAGGUAGGCUGCUUGUGAGUGUUUCAGCCAUUUGCUCCACUCACUGGACCAGGGCACGUCCAUACUGAAGAAUAUAUGACCAAAGAGAUAUGGGAUCACUUACACAUGUCACGGCGUCCUUGCAGACGCUCCAGCAACAGAAGGUUUGAGUUGACUCUUAGAACAUGAACCUUCUGGGAUCCCUGGGUGGCUCAAUGCUCAACCGCUGAGCCCCUCGGGCACCCCUCAUGGGAUCCCAUUUUGUAGUUCACUUUACACAGAAGGGAAAGCAGCCCUCCCAGAGUGGACCUUCCACUUGCUGUGAAAAUCCGGACCCUUUGAAAUAAAAGGAAGGAGUUGCUGAGAUGACCUGGUUCAUUUGGCUGCUUAUUCCUUCACACAGGCGUCUUCUGUUCCAGUUUCUCGUAUUAGGUUUCUGAGCUGGGGAACGUUUCUGCUACAGCGGAUCAGCAGGCGCUGUUCCCAGAAUACAUGAUAAUAGCACGGCAGAUUUCAAGCUAGGGAAUUUGAAUGAAGUUUGCUAUAACGCUCUGUAUUUCAUAUCAGAUUUCUCCACCUUUUCAUCUCAGAUGUCAUUGGAUGUGACAUUUUAAUGGAAAUACUUAAAUUACAAAAGCAUAACUUAGCAACAAGAAUGAAACAGACAAUUGAAUGUGGGACAUUUUCCUGGCAUGCCUUACUGUCGAAAAUUGGACUUUGAGUCAAAACCCUGGUUAGUGACACCUACCUCCUCGAGUUAUGUAAAUCGAUGCUGAGCUUGGAAAACCUUCAAAGAGGCUUGCUUUGAACAGGAAAGGAAGUAGCAGUCAUCUGAGGGUGUCAUUUUUACCUUGUAACCUACUGUGGAAAAUGCUGGAAGACGGUCCUUCCCUGAAAACUGCAUUUAGCUUUGUGCCUUUGUCAAACCCUGUCAACUCGCCCAUGAGAAAUGGAUGCUUCUUCGUGAACAGUGUGUUGUUUUUUUGUUUUUUAAUAAGGUGAUACUUUACUGUACACUAUGUUGUAUUUCUUCUGAACCAAAAAACAAGUACCUGGCAUUAUAGAAACAGAUUCUUGGCAUGUGACUUCUGGGAAUGUUUUCCGGAACGCGUUCUACUCCCAAACAUUUGGAAGGAUUUUACCUGACUCAUUGUGAGAUGCAGAGUUUUUGGUGUGAGAUCAGUUUGGGGUCAGUUACGGUUCAAGAUUAUGGAAGUAAUCCCCAGCAGUGCAGCAUCAAGAGCUCCGUAGAGCUCGGGUAAUAGAUUUUGCAAGUUGUUCUGAUUUAGGGAUCGCAUUAACGUAUGGAAGAAGUGAGAGAGGACUAUUCCAUAAUUUAAUAGGUUCCUGUGCAAAAUGAAAAUUUGUCACGCUCCUCCUCCCAGGUUCCUGCAUGGUGGAUUGCCAAGCGAGGUUCAGUUCUAAGUUCUGGCUUAGGGCCACGCGAUGUCACGGGGAAUAAAUCACUGCUCCCCACCCCCCAAAAAAAGCCUGUUCCAUAAGCAAUACCGAUCGAGUCUCACCAACCUCUCCUUCUUAGUGAAAACCAGAUACUUGGGUGGACUGAAGUGUGCUUUUUGUCCUGCACAAACUUAUUAGAAGAUUACAGACAAAACGCUUGCCACUGAUUUUUUUUUCUUUUUUAGGAAAAACAACUAAACAUCUUAAAAUGUAAAAUUGGGGAGACACUAGACUUGUGGAGCCAAGGAAACUCCACAACAGCAGACGCUAUUGUGUACCUUUCCUAGUGGGUUUUAAGAAUUUCAAAUUUGGACUUAAUGGCAGUUUAUCAAUUAAAUGGCAAGCAGGAAAAAUGCAUUUUGAGAGCAGGGAAGGAAAAUAAAAACGUAAUCAAAAGUAUGCGGAUGAAAUAAGCAGAAGUAGCUGUUCUGGAGAAGUUGCUUGAAUUAACUCCAGGAGUCCUCAGAUUUCUCUUACCGGUAAAGCUGCUGUGUCAGCUGGAGAUGUGGUUUAUUCUACGCAGCAGCAAAGGCCGAACUUCAGGAGUACUUGAGCUGCAGUCAUCUGUCGGAUGUCAACACAGACAAAGUGAGAAUGUGACUUACGCGUCCCAUUACCCGAGCCAGGUGAAGAUUGGUUCAUUCGAAGAACAGGGAAGGGGAUGGUUGGGCCUUGGAAAGUUCUAGAAUGUGGGAAGGGAGGUGGGGAAGGAAGUCAUAUCCUUUGGUCAACAGAUGACUGCAAAGGUCUGGGCGAACUAUGAGGACGUUCCAGGGUGUGCUAGGCAACUCAACUCCAACGGUGGAAAUGAUUUUUUUUCACACCCCUAUUUUUCAGGAAUGUUCCAAAGGAACCUCUCAGGAUUUGAAGUUUGUCAAAGAGAAACUUGCUUUGCAGACAGACGUAGUUAGAAUACCUGCAUUCUAACACAACUAGGGACGCAUGAAGUCCCAAGCAAGUCAUGGUCCUUAGGCUGUAGGUUCAGGGUUACACACUGGGAAGUUUAUAGGUCAGGGACAAAAAGCUGAAGCCAGGGCAGCCCCGGUGGCACAGCGGUUUAGUGCUGCCUGCAGCCCAGGGCCUGAUCCUGGAGACCCUAGAUUAAGUCCCAAGUCAGGCUCCCUGCAAGGAGCCUGCUUCUCCCUCUGCCUGUGUCUCUUCUCUGUGUGUCUCUCAUGAAUAAAUAAAUAAAAUCUUUAAAAAAAAAAAAAAAAAAGCUGAAGCCAGAGCAGGUAGUUGGCAGUUACCUUUGGGGUCUGAGCAUCUGAUAGUUGCAUUGAAAGCCAGAGCGACUCAGAGCCGUAUCCACCCAACCCUGCCAGGGCAACCCACUGAUUCAGAAAGAAUGUGACAGGUUCCUGACCUCAUUUGUUCUCUAGAACACCUGCUGUCAGAGACACUUGCAGAAACAAGUGUCAGCCCCUGAGCCCCCAUGCAUCAGUGUGGCCUUGUGGCAUCCCACAGGGCCGUGCCAUCCUGGAGCUCACCCUGGUCCUAGUUAGAAUCAGCAAACGUCAUUAGGCUCCCCUGGUGUCCUAGUGAACGCAAGCCGGGGCUUGGGAACAUGCCCUGGUUUGGUACGAGUGUCAUCCUGGGGUGGGUCAGCCAUAUUGUGACACCAGUGUGUCUGCAAAACCUCUAGUCACAUGAGUUACUGGGGGUAAUUCUGAGUAUCAAGGACAUGUGUCCUCAACCAAUCAAUACAGUGUUCCUACCCCUGAGCAUUCUCUGGGCUUCUUCUGAGUAUUACAUUCAGAUGACCUGUGGGUUUUUUGUUUUGUUUUGUUUUGUUUUAAGAUUUUACUUAUUUAUUCAUGAGAGGCAGAGACACAGGCAGAGGGAGAAGCAGGCUCCUGGGUACCUGGAUGCGGGAUGCGGGACUCGAUCCCAGGACCCCGGGGUCACGCCGUGAGCCGAAGGCAGAUGCUUCACCCCUGAGUCACCCAGGCAUGCCCAGAUGACCUAUGUUUCUAAACUACGUUGUACCAUGUGAUUUUUGCAGCACAUUUGGUCUUAAAGACCUCCCUGUAGCCAAGGACUGGGGUAGGAGGCACAUAUAGAUUCCUGAUAAAUUCAGACCUAGCCUGCAAGGACGGCUCCUGGGUACCUGACCUUUGAUGCUUGAGGGCCACCACGUGUCCCUGAAAGCCCUUGGGUACUUGUUGGGCACCAUUGCCCAAACUGUGAGUGUAGUUGUGCCCAGCUGGCCUCUCAGGAUACAGCAAAGGUGUCAGUAAAAUCCCUGUCUCACCUCUAAAAGUCUGCUGAUCAGGGUUUGUCCACGCCUGCAGGGCGGUGAGGAGAUGGGUCAGCUCCCUUUGCAGAGGGAGAGUUAUUUGUACAGGAUCAAAAGUGGAUGAGCUGGUAAAGUGGAAAUUGUAUGUGACACACGGGUGUCCUCCAAUAUCGAUUUACAAUGAUAUAUAAUUACAAAUGAUGGGUUUACAAAAGAGAUUUCUAGAAUGGUGUCAUGAUGGGGAGAAAUGAAACCUUGAGCAUCGGGAUGCCUGUGGGUGGCUCAGUGGUUAAGCGUUUGCCUUCAGCUCAGGGCAGGAUCCCUGGGUCCUGGGAUCAAGUCCCACAUCGGGCUCCCUGUAGGGAGCCUGCUUCUCCCUCUGCCUGUGUCUCUACCUCUCUCUCUGUGUCUCUCAUGAAUAAAUAAAUAAAACCUUAAAAAAAAAAAA